UAUGGGUAAAUUUAAUUAUACCAAUAUUAUUAGUAAAAUUUACCUAAAAAAUCGGUUAAAUUUACUGAUAUUCUGGAGAAACCGACCUUACCUAUAUAUGAGUGAUCGUAUUUACCCAUAUUUGGGUGAAAAAAUAAACAUAACAAAUACGUACUGAGCACCACCGGGGCCACCGUGAUAAUGUCGCAGUAGUGUGAAAAUUUUCGCUGUUUAAUGCUCGAUACCGUCACAAUCGACGAAUAUUCAUGUAGUUCCGAGUGCAGUUCUUGAUGUGAGCUUUUCUCAACCAGUUCCGAUCAUUUUGAGCUGCUGUCGGAUGUCAACCUCGCAAAAGGUGAUCGUCGUUAUAUUAUGAGAAAGAGGACUACUUCCUGAAACAUCGGUGGAGAACUACUCACAGCUGCGAGUCUCUGAUUCCGGUUUAUUACGUUCUUGAGACCUACCCCUAGUGUUACGGAAUCAAUGCGCCAACGACCAUCGUAGUUUUACCAUUGAGAGCCACGCCGUUGUCCCGUGAAGAUUUCGAUUCCCACUCAACAGGGCCCCACUGCGCAGCAUUUAACCAUUGGUCCUUAAACGACUGCUCCUGUGCGGGUGCGAACAUUGACGGUACCAGGCAGUCUGGCACCCAAGACAUAAAUGGGCUUAGCUAAAAUUCUCUCGAUCUUUUGCUAAAAGGUCCACCGAACGUAAAAAUCAUUUCCGGACGUAAGAAUCAUCCAAAGAUGUUCUCGAUGUUCAGUUCAAUUCGCAUGCUGCCUCGUCUUUUCGCUCCCGAAAGUGGCCGACAAGAAGAACAGGUCGGAAAAAGGGGAAGGAGAAAAAUUCAGUCGGACCGGCCAACUGAUCGACGAGGGCAUCCCCCGAGGGAACGUAAGCCAAGGAGGAGUUAUUCUUUUUGUGUACCAAGAGCUGCUGUUUUAUGCUGCUGCUCCAACAUCCGGAUCGCAGAUUUUUUAUUAGAUUGAUUUCGGUACGGUUAGUCGCGACGUUUCAUCAAUGUAUCCAAGAGCAUUAUCUUUAGAUACCAUCACCAGUUCAGGAAUUGUAUUGCGUCAAAUUCCGCACAGCUAACUUGUGAUCCGGUGCUUGCUGCGAUUGAUGUUUCCUCCACCGCAGUGAUGAGUAGCUGAGGGAUGUUCCGGUUCGGCUGGAAUUGCUACAAUCAGAUGCCAUAAAUGAU